rnacentral:rRNA from 1 species
GAACAAGCUACAUAGAGUACGAGGUGGAUGCCUUGGUACUGAAGGCCGAUGAAGGACGCGGAGACCGGCGAAACGUUCAGGGGGAGCUGCAUACAAGCGAUGAGCCCUGAGUAUCCGAAUGGGGCAACCCAUCCAGCAUGAUGGCUGGAUACCGCCUGCUGAACACAUAGGCAGGAACGGAGGGCAGCGGGCGAACUGAAACAUCUCAGUAGCCCGACGAGAAGAAAUCAAACGAGAUUCCCGUAGUAGUGGCGAGCGAAACGGGAGUAGCCCAAACCGAGAAUACCGAAGUAUUCUCGGGGUUGUAGGACCAACCACAGGUGUGAAGCGCUGACUCGAAGGCGUUGGAAAACGCCACCGCAGAUGGCGACAGUCCAGUAGAGGAUGAGCACGACACACAAGUUGGUAUCCUGAGUACCACGAACCCCGGUGAGUUUGUGGGAAGCUGGGGGGACCACCCUCCAAGGCUCAAUACCUUCAGUAACCGAUAGUGAACCAGUACCGUGAGGGAAAGGUGAAAAGCGCCCCGAAAGGGGGAUGAAACAGACCCUGAAACCACGUACUCACCAGCAGUCAGAGGCCACUCCUGCACAGCGCAGGUCAGGGCUGAUGGCGUGCCUUUUGUAGAAUGAUCCGGCGAGUGCAUCGUCGUCGCCUGGUUAACCUCCGUUAAAGGAGGGCAGCCACAGGGAAACCGAGUCUGAAAUAGGCGACGAACAAGCGGUGGCGACGAUGCGACCCGAAACCAUGUGAGCUAUCCAUGAGCAGAGUGAAGCGACUGUGAAAGGUCGUCGAGGCUCGCACCCACCAGUGUUGCAAAACUGGGGGAGGACUUGUGGAUAGAGGUGAAAUGCCAACCGAACAUGGAGAUAGCUGGUUCUCCCCGAAAUGUAUUGAGGUACAGCCACGGGGGAUAGGUUCUGGAGGUAGAGCGCUGCAUGAGCUAGGGGCCAGGUGCUGGUUACCGAACUCAAGCAAACUGCGAAUGCCAGAACCGCAUACCCGUGAGUGAGACGAUGGGGGCUAAGCUUCAUCGUCGAAAGGGAAACAACCCAGAUCACCAGCUAAGGUCUCGAAAUCGAUGCUCAGUGUGCAAGGGCGUCCGUACGCAAGAACAGCCAGGAUGUUGGCUUAGAAGCAGCCAUCAUUGAAAGAGUGCGUAAUAGCUCACUGGUCGAGUGUAUGGGCACCAACAACGUAUCGAGGCUCAAGCAUCGUACCGAAGCUGUGAAUCCUUCUUAAUAGAAAUGAGGGGGAUGGUAGGGGAGCGUUCUCUAGCAGAGAAGCCAGACCGUGAGGACUGGUGGAGCGGAGAGAAGUGCGAAUGCCGGAAUGAGUAGCGUAAUGCGUGUACGAACCACGCACACCGAAAGCCUGAGGGUUCCUGGGCAACGUCAGUCGUCCCAGGGUGAGUCGGGUCCUAAGCCGAGGACGUUAUAGUCGUAGGCGAUGGAAAGCAGGUCUGAAAUUCCUGCGCCAGAGCGUAUCGUGAAAAGUGAAGAGGGGACGCGGUAAGGAAAGUGAACCUAUCGAAUGGACAGGAUAGGCUUUCAAUCUGAAGUGCGAGACCGAGGCAAAUCCCGGUUUCCGACAGCAUGAAGAUUGAGACGAGUCUGCGCAAGCAGACGGAAGUCACUGGCACCUACGCCGCCAAGAAAAGCCUCUAACUAGAUGCAGCUCUGCCCGUACCGCACACCGACACCGGUAGGCAGGGAGAAAUCUCCCCAGGUGAACGAGCCAACCUCUGUCAAGGAACUCGGCAAAUUGACCCCGUACCUUCG